UACGAAGGGUGCUAGCGUUGUUCGGAAUCACUGGGCGUAAAGCGCGCGUAGGCGGCGAUAUAAGUCAGGGGUGAAAGCCUGGAGCUCAACUCCAGAACUGCCCUUGAAACUAUAUUGCUAGAGUGUCGGAGGGGAUAGCGGAAUUGCUAAUGUAGAGGUGAAAUUCGUAGAUAUUAGCAGGAACACCGGUGGCGAAGGCGGCUAUCUGGACGACAACUGACGCUGAGGCGCGAAAGCGUGGGGAUCAAACAGG
rnacentral:rRNA from 1 species